rnacentral:lncRNA from 1 species
AUUGGAUAAAUGCAGAGAGCCCACUAAGUACAUAUUGUUUAAUUAGAACUCCAUGAAUAGAAGUUUUUAUUGAAAAACAGUUUCAUUUGCAAAAGUGAUCCACAAAUAGAUUAUGAAGAACAAAAUUUUCCAAAUUCAACUUAAAUUGAAAGCUAACUAUGAUGGCAGAUCUACUAUUAUAUGCAUUUCAGCACCAAGCCAAAACAUGAUGUACUUUUAACAGGCUAUAACACAAGGAAAUAUUUCCUUUUUGCAAUUGGGAUGAUGGCCUCAUAAUCUCAUAUUUGUUUACAGGGACUGAUGACAAUGUACACCAGAGUUAAGAUUUGUAUGAAUAUGAAGUGUUGAAUUCCAAAUAUAAGCGCAUUUCAUGAUUUAACAAAUAAAUGCUUUGCCUGCAUUUCUUUAAUGUUUGGGAAAUUAAAAUUGAAUGACACAAACAGCAUAUGAACAUAGAAAUUGGAAGUAUCUAGGGCUAAAGAUUGAAGGAGACAUUUAAAUACUCCUUGGACAUGUCACUAGCAAUUUAGCUUUAUAAAGAUUGAAGGAGACAUUUUAAAUACUCCUUGGACAUGUCUAGCAGUUCCGCUUUAAGAAUAUGUGCCUAGUAGUACCAGAAGCAGCAGCUCCACAGACCACGC